AGAUAUAUAAUCAUGGAUUUUAAACUUAUAUAUUGAUGUAAAAUGAGUGAUUUAAUUAUAAUGGCACCAGAGGUUUGCCUCUCAAUCAAUAAAAUUUCUUCCUUUAAAAAAAAAAAAGGACAAUGGCAAAACUACGGCUGCACAUCUGGACCAAAAAACAUGCAAUACUUGCCCGACCUGCACUCGAAAAACUUCAGAAAAAGACGAAACACAUGUGUUCGAGUCAGAGCGGGUUAAACCUGACUACGAGUUUGGGUCAAGUUCAGGUGGUCGUUUCCAUCAGCUUCGGGUGUAACCUGAACCAACUAAGCUUUUUUUUAGUUUUGUUUAUUUACUUUUUUUUAAGAUUAAAGAUUAAAAAUUAAAUAAAAAAAUUCCUAUGAAAAAUUUACCCCCUCCCAUACCCCCCCACCCGACUCUCUCUCUCGACUACACUCUCUCUCUCUCUCUCUCUCGGUUGUCUCCCCCCUCAUCGGCGUUGACCGACCAAACCACUGCCGCCCAGUGGUCCCCGAGUCCUGACCGACCACCACACCACCAUUCCAGCCUCUUCUUCUCUUCUCCAAGACCGACUCCUCCCUCGCUCUCUCCCUCUUGGUGUCCUUCCUCGCUGCUGGCUCGAGCUCCUCCGACUCCUCCUUGUCGUCAACGUUGCAAGCGACAGCAACUCCAGCAAGCUUCCAGCAAGGCAGCAAAGGGCUUUGGCUGGGCAUUGAGGUGUCGGCAGAGUCUCAUCUGCUGCACAAGAUACUGGAUGAAUCAAGAAGGGAACCUCAACGCAGCUUGACUUGUUUAUAUUUCAGAAUUGGAAAUUGGGAAGGAGAAUUGAAGGAAUGAUGAAGGAUAACCAAAAUAUUUUGGAAAUUGGAUAGUAUCUAUAAUUAAUUUCUAUUUUGGAUCUUAGUUUGGACUUUGGAUAUUUUGUGGACUUUGAAUUGAUGGAUUUUUUAUUUUUAGUAGUUUUGUUACAUUUGUUAAGAACUUUGGAUUUUGAGUUUUGGACUAUGGACUUUUAAAUUUUAAUUAAGGCCUGGAAAUUAUGGA